rnacentral:rRNA from 1 species
AUUGAACGCUGGCGGCAGGCCUAAUACAUGCAAGUCGAGCGGAUGAAGGGGGCUCGUUCUUGGCUUAAGCGGGGGACGGGCGAGUAAUGCAUAGGAAUCUGCCCGGUAGUGGGGGAUGACGUCAGGAAAGGGGCGCUAAUACAGCAUCCGUCAAGAGGGUGAAAGUGGGGGAUCUUUGGACAUCACGCUAUUAGCUGUGCCUAGGUCGGAUUAGCUAGUUGGUAGGGUAAAGGCCUACCAAGGCGACGAUCCGUAACUGGUCUGAGAGGAUGAUCAGUCACACUGGAACUGAGACACGGUCCAGACUCCUACGGGAGGCAGCAGUAGGGAAUAUUGGACAAUGGGCGAAAGCCUGAUCCAGCCAUGCCGCGUGUGUGAAGAAGGUCUUCGGAUUGUAAAGCUCUGUAAGUAGGGAAGAAGGGCAGUAAGUUAAUACCUGCCUGUUUUGACGUUACCAACAGAAUAAGCACCGGCUAACUUCGUG